rnacentral:rRNA from 1 species
AUUGAACGCUGGCGGCAUGCCUUACACAUGCAAGUCGAACGGCAGCAUGAAGAGCUUGCUCUCUGAUGGCGAGUGGCGAACGGGUGAGUAAAGCAUCGGAACGUACCGUGUAGUGGGGGAUAACGUAGCGAAAGUUACGCUAAUACCGCAUACGCACUGAGGUGGAAAGCAGGGGAUCGUAAGACCUUGCGCUAUACGAGCGGCCGAUGUCAGAUUAGCUAGUUGGUAGGGUAAAGGCCUACCAAGGCGACGAUCUGUAGCGGGUCUGAGAGGAUGAUCCGCCACACUGGGACUGAGACACGGCCCAGACUCCUACGGGAGGCAGCAGUGGGGAAUUUUGGACAAUGGGGGCAACCCUGAUCCAGCCAUGCCGCGUGAGUGAAGAAGGCCUUCGGGUUGUAAAGCUCUUUCGGCCGGGAAGAAAUCGCACAGGCUAAUACCCUGUGUGGAUGACGGUACCGGCAUAAGAAGCACCGGCUAACUACGUGCCAGCCGCCGCAGUAA